rnacentral:rRNA from 1 species
AGGAUAAACGCUGGCGGCGUGCCUAACACAUGCAAGUCGAACGUCCUACGCAAGUAGGGAGUGGCGGACGGGUGAGUAACACGUGGGCAAUCUACCUUUCGGUGAGGAAUACCGGCGAGAAAUCGCCGACAAUACCGCAUACGCUUCGCAAGAAGCAAAGUCGCAAGACGCCGGAGGAGGAGCCUGCGCCCGAUUAGCUGGUUGGUGGAGUAAUGGUCUACCAAGGCGACGAUCGGUAGCUGGUCUGAGAGGAUGAUCAGCCACACUGGGAUUGAGAACGGCCCAGACUCCUACGGGAGGCAGCAGUGGGGAAUAUUGGACAAUGGGCGCAAGCCUGAUCCAGCCAUGCCGCGUGGAUGAUGAAGGCCCUAGGGUUGUAAAGUCCUUUGACGGGGAAGAUAAUGACGGUACCCGUAGAAGAAGCCCCGGCUAACUUCGUGCCAGCAGCCGC